AAAAGGAGCAAGAAUGCGUGACUAGAAGGAAAGGCUGUAUGCCAAAUGACCAUGGGUUUUUGGCCGCGGUAUUUUGACCGUGCACAGGUAGCGCAAUCACUUGUCUUUUAAAUAAAGACCUGUAUGAAUGGCUAAACGAGGGCUUAACUGUCUCCCAUCUCUAGUCAGUGAAAUUGAUCUCCCCGUGCAGAAGCGGGCAUAAAAAUCCAGAGACGAGAAGACCCUUUGGAGCUUAAGGUACAAAACUCAACCACGUUAAACAACUCUAUAAAAAGCAGCUUAAACCUUGUGGAUACUGAGACCAUACCUUCGGUUGGGGCGACCACGGAGGAAAAUAAAGCCUCCAAGUGGACUAGGGCCAACCCCCUAAAACUAAGAGAGACAUCUCUAAGCAACAGACAUCUGACCAUACAUGAUCCCGGCUAACCCAGCCGAUCAACGAACCAAGUUACCCUAGGGAUACCAGCGCAUCCCCUCCCAGAGUCCAUAUCGACGAGGGGGGUUUACGACCUCGAUUGUCGCAUCAGGACAUCCUAAUGUUGCAGCCGCUUAUAAGGAUUCGAUUUGUUCCACCGAUUAAAGUCCUUACCGUGGAUCUGAGUUCACAACACGAGA
rnacentral:rRNA from 1 species